rnacentral:rRNA from 1 species
UACGAAGGGGGCUAGCGUUGCUCGGAAUCACUGGGCGUAAAGCGCACGUAGGCGGAUUGUUAAGUCAGGGGUGAAAUCCUGGAGCUCAACUCCAGAACUGCCUUUGAUACUGAGGAGCUUGAGUCCGGGAGAGGUGAGUGGAACUGCGAGUGUAGAGGUGAAAUUCGUAGAUAUUCGCAAGAACACCAGUGGCGAAGGCGGCUCACUGGCCCGGUACUGACGCUGAGGUGCGAAAGCGUGGGGAGCAAACAGGG